GAUGAACGCUGGCGGCGUGCUUAACACAUGCAAGUCGAACGAAGCACCUUAUUCUGAUUUCUUCGGAAUGAAAAAUUUGGUGACUGAGUGGCGGACGGGUGAGUAACGCGUGGGUAACCUGCCUCAUACAGGGGGAUAACAGUUAGAAAUGACUGCUAAUACCGCAUAAGACCACAGCACCGCAUGGUGCAGGGGUAAAAACUCCGGUGGUAUGAGAUGGACCCGCGUCUGAUUAGGUAGUUGGUGGGGUAACGGCCUACCAAGCCGACGAUCAGUAGCCGACCUGAGAGGGUGACCGGCCACAUUGGGACUGAGACACGGCCCAAACUCCUACGGGAGGCAGCAGUGGGGAAUAUUGCACAAUGGGGGAAACCCUGAUGCAGCGACGCCGCGUGAGUGAUGAAGUAUUUCGGUAUGUAAAGCUCUAUCAGCAGGGAAGAAAAUGACGGUACCUGACUAAGAAGCACCGGCUAAAUACGUGCCAGCCGCCGCUGUAACAC
rnacentral:rRNA from 1 species